rnacentral:lncRNA from 1 species
UUAUAUAUACCAAGGGGUGACGUCAACUGAUAUCAUCAAAUCAUAUCAAUUUAAAAAAAUCAGUGAGCUCGGUUAAAUUAAGUCGACAUCAUCUUCUUUCUUCCAUUCGAUCGACGUCUUCCUCUUCCUCUUCCAUAUCCUUUUUCGAGGAAAUCUUUAAAUUAUAAAUGUAAUUCGAAUUCCCUCUUCCAUAUCCCUUUUCCGUUUCAGCUUCUAAUGAUUUGCAAUCUCGCGAUUCUCGUAUCCCUAAUUUUACGUCCUCUCCAAAAUAAACCACAACCUAAGAAUAUGAAAGCUAAAUAGGCGGUUGAUGUAAAGUUUUUAGGGGUGAGGUUAGGGGUUUUCAGGCGACGAGGAUGAGGUUGACUCCGGCAAGGGGAUGAACAAGGCGGAUUGUGGUUUUUCAUUUGACAAUUCACAGAUAAGGUAUAAUUUUGACGUGGGUUUCUAUGAUAUUUUAAUUAUGUUUAUGUUUAUAUAAUUGUGUUCAUAUGAAUCUAAUUUCAGUUUGGGUUAUUGAUUUUAUUAUUGGGAUUAUAAUGUUGUAUUCUUUGCCGUGUUGUUAUGUACUAAUAGAGUUCUUGCUCACCACAUGUUUGAUAAGUUGCAAAUUGACAUUUUAGACUUUAAUGGGAUGUGAUGCAAAAAUUGGUUCUGCUCGCUGAUUAGGAUUAGUUUGCAUAAAUUAGGUAAUUUUUUUGUUGACGAAUUCUGGAGCCAAUGGGGUGGAAUGAAUUGCUGGAAAGCAAUAUCAUUUGCUAGCUGGAAAGAAGAAGGUAUGAUUUUGUUUUUACAUUCCAAAUUUGAUUGCUUUUUUAGUAUAAUUUUGAUUGGUUUGUUUAUUUUCGUUAAUAUUUUGAAUCUAUUGUUGUUUAGAUUGUGGAAUUUUGAUUACAUUUACAACUUGAUUACUUUUAUUGUACAAGUUAUAUGGAUUUGCUGAUAUUCAUGAUAAUCUGACCAAAGUCAGAGUUAUGUGGAGUGUUUGAUAGGCAUUCAGUAGGAAAAUAUGUGAAACUCUUAUUUUCUAAAAAGCUUUUGAAAUAAAUAAUGGUUCAUUCUGAUCUUAGCAGUAGAUUGGUACCUUCUGUUUGGCUCUCAACUCAUUUAUAAGAUCCAUUGAGCUACUUAGUUUUUGAAGGUUCUUAUUAGCCCUUGGCCCCUUGCAUAAUCAACAAGAAACCAAAAGAUACAACAAACAUUUUACAAUAGAAUCCAAAUACACACACCCCACCGCACCAGUCAUGUGAAUUCAGAUGUAAAGAUUUACCAAUUUAUUGUGUUUGAAACAGGUUCCAUUGCAUCCAAGGAAUUAGCCCAUGGUCUUGGGUAUUUUCCAUUGCUUCAAUCUAUAAUAGAGUUCAAUUAGUCCCAUCCUCCGGUCAGUUACAUCUGACUUCGAUGUUAGCCACAGGUUAACAGGUAUGUCAAAAUUUAGUAGUUUUUUCUAUUUUGUAUUACUUACUUUGAGGAUUCAUAAUUUAAGUGAAAUCUAAAAAUUUUCCAUAAUUAUUUAUAUAGCAUUGUUACUUGAUUGGGUUGGUUAGUGCAUUUCAACUGUUUGAAAUAAGAUUAAGUGGAUGUUCUUAUGCUUUAAUUAAUAUAUUCUUCAAACUAGACCGUGCAUUGCACGGACUAUCAACUAAUAAUAGUAAUUUUCUUCUGCUUCCAUCCUCAUCAACAGUCACGUUUCUUCUUAAUUUACACAGCCAUUUUUCCUUGCAAGUCUACUAAUUACACACCCAUUCAUAAACUGCCAAGAUACACAUAGCAACCACUUUUUCAUAUAGUACACAUUUAAUUUUGGAGGGCAGCAUUUGAAACGUACAUAUCUCACACAUAAAUACACCAUGUAAUGCAAAUUAUGAGAAGAACACUGAUUCAAGACCCAACCAACAUAAAGCAUUAAAAACAAGAGUAUUGACAAUACUAGUGAUAUACUCCAAUUAAAGCUUCUACCUUUUUAAUCCUCCAAUGUUUCAAAUUAUGGGAUGGGUGCUGUAAAGUGUAAACUAUAUUUGGAUACCAUUAAUGUCAAAGAUAAACAGUAUAUAACCUUCGAAAAAUCAAAAAUAUAUAUCAUGUAUUACUAUAUUAUAAUAGCAUCAUUCCAAACAGAUCUUCAACAAAAGCAAAUAAAUCAACUUUAUGAUAAUCUAGUAGCAAAAUGAAAAUUUCAGAAACACAUACAUACAUAUAAAUUUUUUUUUAAAAAAAGAAAAAAAAGCAUUUGAAUGACUUAGAGCCUGUUCGGGGUAGCUUAUAAGUUGGUAAGCCAACUUAUAAUCUACUUUUUAUUGUUUUAGUGUUCGGGAAGAGCUUAAAUUAUGACUUAUUUUUUGACUUAUAAGUAAAUAAAAUAAGUUACAAUUUAUAACUUAUAAAUGAAUGACUUAUAAGUCAUUCUUAAUAAGUUAUUUUGACCAAAUGUAAUGUCCAUUUUGCCUCUCUUCUGUCUUAUUAAAUUACAUCUCUACCCCUCCUAACCUAAAAAGCUUUAGGGGGUGUUUGAUAAAAAUGAAAUAGUUCUUAAUGUUUAAUUAAUCUAAAUGAGCUGAAUGAAGCAGAAUUUUGAAUACUGAUUGAAAAAAGUUGCUAGAUAAUUGACAUGUUUGAAAAACAGAUUUUUAUUAUUUUAUUCCUUUGAAAAAAUUCAAAAUUGUUGUAAAUUUAUUUAAUAUUACCUAAUAUAAUAGUUAAUAUUGUAAAAAAAAUUAAAUAUAAAAUAUUUCAUUCAGGAGUCAAUCAGCUCAUUCAGCCAAAAAAAUUACACUUGGUCAUUCAGCACAAAAAACUGACUGAUUAAGCUUUUAUUCAAAACUAACGUACUGAAUGACUGAUUGAUUCAGUCAUUUAGUUCCAUUCAACACUAAACAAACACCCCACACUCUCUCUUCUAACGUAAACAUUUUUUGUAAGUGUCGAGUCUCUGAUCUUCUCUGAUGACUGAUCGCUCGAUCCGUCAAUUUCUUGGUUUCUCCUUCCUUCGCUCCUCGACUGUUACUCUUGCUACUCAUUCUACUCCUUCAAUUGAUGCUACUCCUUCGAUUGUUGUUAGGCACCAAACUUUAGACUAAAUAUUUGAUAAGUAUAUAUAUUUGUGUAUUAUGCUAUGUUUAAAUAUUUGACAUGUGGUUUUUCUUUUUUACCUCUAUACUUUUGACUGUAGUUUCAGAGCAUGUGGGUUUCAAUUUAAUUCCAUUUGUUGUUAAUUUAUGUGGUUCAAAUGAUUGAUUGAUUGAUUGAUUGAAUGAAUGAAUUGUUGUAUAUUGGGUUGUGCUUAAUUAGGAAUAUGUGAGCAUAUUAAUUUUUAGUAAUUUUCAGUAACUCUGUUUGAAACAAGAUUGAUUAAUUUUCAGUAAUUGAUUGAUUGAAUGAAUUGUUGUAUACUCUGUUUGAAUCUAUAUUGAUUAACAAGACUUUUUUAGUUUUAUUUAUUAAUUAUGUUUGCUAAUUUUAUUUAUCAUGUAAUACAUGAUUUUCAAGAAAAAUAAGAAGCUAAUGUCUCGAAAGUUUUCAAGUAAAAAUUAAGGGAAGAGUUUACGAGAAAGAAAAUGGGAAGAUUUUAUUAUUUAAUUAAAAUACUAAUUCUGAAAUAUACUAACAAAUUAGCAAUACUGAUUAUUUGUGUUAUGUAAUUAUAUGUCCGUAUGUUUAUAUGGAAAAUGAUACUUGUAUAUGUCUUAUUAGUUGUUGUGUAAAGAGGCGUGAACAUUUAUGUUUGCGCAGAAACCUAUAUAUUGAUAUGUUACUAGACAAUUUUUAUUGAAGAUUGAUUUUUGGGUUUUUUAUAUGUUAUUGGAAGACUUGAGCAGCACUCCAUGUUAUGUUGUACGCCUUAAAAGCCUAUGGUUAGGGGUGCUCAUCGGUAAAAAACCGAGCCGGUACCGAAAAAAUCGAACCGGUACCGAAUUUAAAUUAUAGAAAAAACAAGAACCAAAACCGGUACCGGUACCGAAUUACCGGUUUCGGUACCGGUUCGGUACAAAUUCGGUACCGAUUUUUUCGGUUCGGUUUUUGAUUAUACCGCAUGCAUGAUGAUAUAUGUAAUUAUUAAUAAAUAAUAAUAAUUAAAUAAUUUUGUUUAAUAUAUUAACAUUUUUUUUAAAGCUAAGAAAGAAAUCAUAUACAAUUUAUAUAUAUCAAUUGAAAUCAUAUACGUUUUGUAGUAAAUAUUUCCCAUACCAUUAUAAAUAUUUCCACAACUGUGUACUCCUUUACUCUUUGGAAAUAUUUUUGUAAGUUUUUUAUAAUUGUGUCCUUCAAUAGAUUGGAUUCCAGUUUCAUGCACAUGCCUUACAUUUGUAUUAUAAUGUUUAGGUAUUUUAUUAUUGCUACAAGACAUAAUUACCAUAGUUUUUAAUAUGUAUUACGACUUUGUCAUUCCAACAAAAAAGUUCUAUGCUAUUUUUUUUUUAAUUAAUUGGUGAAUUCUAAUAUUUAAAUAUAAUGUGAGCUAUUUAAUUUUGUCAAAUAUAAUUGUAAAUAUUAUAAAAUAAUUAAAAAGUAUUAUAGAAUAUAAAGAAAUAAUUCUUGUUGUUGGUUACUUGUUUACUAACUUACUGUUGGCUUGUUGUUAUCUUAUAUUCUUAUUUCUCUUUCCCUUUUUCUCUUCUGAAGCAUGCGUGGACGUGGUCCCUCUCAUCAUCAAUCCAUUCACUAGUACUAGUAGUGAGAACUGAGAAGUGAGAAGUGAGAAGUGCUAAUUUGCUAUUCAAAAGUCAAUGUGUUGAAUUAGCAGUAGCAGUCUAGCAUUAACUGAACAUCAUUAACAUUUAGCAGUAGCAGUCUAGCAGACAUCAUUAACAUUUAGCAGUAGCAGUCUAGCAGACGCCCAGAAUUUUUUUGACAACAGCAACCGGUACCGAAAAUUCAAAAAUCACCGGUACCGAAAAUUAUAAAAAAACCGAAAAACCGGUACCGAAAAAACCGGUACCGAAAAAAACUGGUAUCGUCGGUUUCGAUACAGACCGGUUCGGUAAAAAACCGAAAAAACCGAAUUUUUUGAGCACCCCUACCUAUGGUUACGCAAAAGACAAUUCAGAUCCCCUGCAGGAUGGUGUUCAGGAUGUUGAGGGAACUGUUAAGAAUGUUGUUUUCUCUGUGUACUACUCCCUCUUUAAUACAAAUCGUUUUAGAGAAAUGUUUUUGUCUCUUAAUAUAAGCUAUGUUGUUAAGUCGUCGCCUAGGCGACGCUUAGUCGGCAAGUCGGUACAGAAAAGACAAGGUGGGAGAACGACUUGGUCGUUGACGAAAAGGCGAGCGCUUAGACAAAAAAGGCGUCGACUUGGACAGUUCGGCGACGGCUAGGACGCCUAACCUGUUGAUCGAGCGACUUGGGCUCAGACAAAAAAUCUGAACUGGGUUUUUUUAAAAACGAUGUCGCAUGAAGAUAAAUAAUAUAAACUAACCCUAAAAGAAAAGCUCGAUCGAUCGACUAAACUCAGAAGAUCGACCGAGAGGCUAGAGCAUAGAUUAGGUAAUUUUUUUGAUGACGAAUUCUGGAGUCAAUGGGGUGGAAUGAAUUGCUGGAAAACAAUAUCAUUUGCUAGCUGGAAAGAAGAAGGUAUGAUUUUUUUGUUUUUACAUUCCAAAUUUGAUAGCUUUUUUAGUAUAAUUUUGAUUGGUUUGUUUAUUUUCGUUAAUACUUUGAAUCUAUUGUUGUUUAGAUUGUGGAAUUUUGAUUACAUUUACAACUUGAUUGCUUUUAUUGUACAAGUUAUAUGGAUUUGUUAUGUGGAGUGUUUGAUAGGCAUUCAGUAGGAAAAUAUGUGAAACUCUUAUUUUCUAAAAAGCUUUUGAAAUAAAUAAUGGUUCAUUCUGAUCUUAGCAGUAGAUUAGUACCUUCUGUUUGGCUCUCAACUCAUUUAUAAGAUCCAUUGAGCUACUUAGUUUUCGAAGGUUCUUAUUAGCCCUUGGCCCCUUGCAUAAUCAACAAGAAACCAAAAGAUACAGCAAACAUUUUACAAUAGAAUCCAAAUACACACACCCCACCGCACCAGUCAUGUGAAUUCAGAUGUAAAGAUUUACCAAUUUAUUGUGUUUGAAACAGGUUCCAUUGCAUCCAAGGAAUUAGCCCAUGGUCUUGGGUAUUUUCCAUUGCUUCAAUCUAUAAUAGAGUUCAAUUAGUCCCAUCCUCCGGUCAGUUACAUCUGACUUCGAUGUUAGCCACAGGUAUGUCAAAAUUUAGUAGUUUUUUCUAUUUUGUAUUACUUACUUUGAGGAUUCAUAAUUUAAGUGAAAUCUAAAAAUUUUCCAUAAUUAUUUAUAUAGCGUUGUUACUUAAUUAGGUUGGUUAGUGCAUUUCAACUAUUUGAUGAAAUAAAAUUGAGUGGAUAGCUUUAAUUAAUAUAUUUUUCAAACUAGACCAUGCAUUGCACAGGCUAUCAACUAAUAAUAUUAAUUUUCUUCUGCUUCCAUCCUCAUCAACAGUCGCGUCUUUCUUCUUAAUUUACACAGCCAUUUUUCCUUGCAAGUCUACUAAUUACACACCCAUUCAUAAACUGCCAAGAUACACAUAGCAACCACUUUUUCAUAUACUAAGCAUUUAAUUUUGGUGGGCAGCAUUUGAAAAGUAAAUAUCUCACACAUAAAUACACCAUGUAAUGCAAAUUAUGAGAAGAACACUGAUUCAAGACCCAACCAACAUAAAGCAUUAAAAACAGGAGUAUUGACAAUACUAGUGAUAUACUCCAAUUAAAGCUUCUACCUUUUUAAUCCUCCAAUGUUUUAAAUUAUGGGAUGGGUGCUGUAAAGUGUAAACUAUAUUUGGAUACCAUUAAUGUCAAAGAUAAACAGUAUAUAACCUACGAAAAAUUAAAAAUAUAUAUUAUGUAUUACCAUAAUAUAAUAGCAUCAUUCCAAACAGAUCUUCAACAAAAGCAAAUAAAUCAACUUUAUGAUAAUCUAGUAGCAAAAUGAAAAUUUCUGAAACACAUACAUACAUAUAAUUUUUUUUUUUUAAAAAAAGAAAAAAAAGCAUUUGAAUGACUUAGAGCCUGUUCGGGGUAGCUUAUAAGUUGGUAAACCAACUUUUAAUCUACUCUUUAUUGUUUUAGUGUUCGGCAAGAGCUUAAAUUAUGACUUAUUUUUUUACUUAUAAGUAAAAAAAAUAAGUUACAAUUUAUAACUUAUAAAUGAAUGACUUAUAAGUCAUUCUUAAUAAGUUAUUUUGACCAAAUGUAAUGUCCAUUUUGCCUCUCUUCUGUCUUAUUAAAUUACAUCUCUACCCCUUCUAACCUAAAAAGCUUUAGGGGGUGUUUGAUAAAAAUGAAAUAGUUCUUAAUGUUUAAUUAAUCUGAAUGAGCUGAAUGAAGCAGAAUUCUGAAUGCUGAUUGAAAAAAGUUGCUAGAUAAUUGACAUGUCUGAGAAACAUAUUUUUAUUAUUUUAUCCCUCUGAAAAAAUUCAAAAUUGUUGUAAAUUUAUUUAAUAUUACUUAAUAUAAUAGUUAAUAUUGUAAAAAAAAUUAAAUAUAAAAUAUUUCAUUCAGGAGUAGAUCAGCUCAUUCAGCCAAAAAAAUUACACUUGGUCAUUCAGCACAAAAAGCUGACCGAUUAAGCUUUUAUUCAAAAUAAACGUACUCAAUAACUGAUCGAUUCAGUUAUUUAGCUCCAUUCAGCUCUAAACAAACACCCCUUACUCUUUCUCUUCUAACGUAAACAUUUUUUCUAAGCGUCGAAUCUCUGAUCUUCUCUAAUGACUUAUCGCUCGAUCCGUCAAUUUCUUGGUUUCUCCUUCCUUCGCUCCGCGACUGUUAUCGAUUGUUGUUAGGUACCAAACUCUAGACCAAAUAUUUAAUAUGUAUAUAUACUUUUGUAUUAUGCUAUGUUUAAAUAUUUGACAUGUGAUUUUUCUUUUUUACCUCUUUAGUUUUGACUGUAGUUUCAGAGCAUGUGGGUUUCGAUUCAAUUCCAUUUGUUGUUAAUUUAUGUGGUUCAAAUGUUUGAUUGAUUGAUUGAAUGAAUUGUUGUAUAUUGGGUUGUGCUUAAUUAGGAAUAUGUGAGCAUCUUAAUUUUUAGUAAUUUUCAGUAACUCUGUUUGAAACAAGAUUGAUUAUACUCUGUUUGAAAGUUUUCAAGUAAUUUUCAGUAAUUUUUUAGUAAUUUUCAGUAAUUGAUUGAUUGAAUGAAUUGUUGUAUACUCUGUUUGAAUCUAUAUUGAUUAACAAAACUUUUUUAGUUUUACCUAUUAAUUAUGUUUGCUAAUUUUAUUUAUCAUGUAAUACAUGUUUUUCAAGAAAAAUAAGAAGCUAAUGUCGAAGAGUUUACGAGAAAGAAAAUGGGAAGAUUUUAUUAUUUAAUUAAAAUACUUAUUCUGAAAUAUAUCAAUACUGAUUGUUUGUGUUAUGUAAUUAUAUGUUCGUAUGUUUAUAUGGACAAUGAUACUUCUAUAUGUCUUAUUAGUUGUUGUGUAAAGAGGCGUGAACAUUUAUGUUUGCGCAGAAACCUAUAUAUUGAUAUGUUACUAGACAAUUUUUAUUGAAGAUUGAUUUUUGGGUUUUUAUGUGUUAUUGGAAGACUUGAGCAUCACUCCAUGUUGUGUUGUACGCCUUAAAAGCCUAUGGUUACGCAAAAGACAAUUCAGAUCCCCUGCAGGAUGGUGUUCAGAAUGUUGAGGGAACUGUUAAGAAUGUUGUUUCCCCUGUUUACUACUCCCUCUUUAAUACAAGUCGUUUUAGAGAAAUGUUUUUUUCUCUUAAUAUAAGUCGUUUGAGAAUUUCAAGUAAGCAUUAAUUGUUUAGUUUUCAAUAUUAUCCAAAGUAUUAAAUAUAACUUUGGUUCUCUCAUUAUUUUUUGUCCAAUAAAUAACAUUGUUACGUGUGAAAGAACAAAGGCAUGAAAUGUGGAGGUUUGGUAGCGGCAUGGUGGAUGCCAACAGAAGUGUUAAGUCAUUUAUUUCGAAAUAAAAUAAGUUGUGAUUUGAUUUAGUUUGUACGAGUCUUUUGGUUAGGUCCUUGUAUUUAGGCCAUCUUUAUUCCUAUAAAUAAACCAACAAUGUAUGAGAAGGCAUUGAGAAGUAAUUUUAUGAACUUUAAAUUCAUUGGAGGCCCGGAUUACCUCGAAUCUAUCCAUAUCUUGUCUUUUGUUAAUCUUUUCAGCAACAAUUGGGAAGGACAGUGCCCACUACGUUCCACAGUAAUUGUUACAAACCAUGAGAGAGCCACACCUUAAAAGCUAGCUAUAUCCCACAUCAAAGUCCCAUACCAUCGAUGUGGGACAAAAGUCCCAUACUUUGCAAUUAGGAUAAUAACAAACACACUCUUCUUUCAAUACAAGGACAAAAUAGUCAAUUGAUAUUAUAUUUAAUGCUAUACAAUUAUUUCCUUGAUACUUGUGCACAAUUCUAAAAUGACAUAUAUUAAGGAACGGAUGAAGUAUUAAGUAUCAUGAUGUUCGCAGUGAACUUCUCAAGUUUGUUAACCGGAAGUUGAGUCAUGCCUCAUGGUACCUUAAUAGGUUUUAGAAAUUUCAUGCAUACUUAAGGAAAUAAUAGUAGAUUGUAUGUGUAUUUGAUUAUUAAAAACUUAUUUUGAAUAUUUCUUUGAUGUGAGAGAAUGAAUCAAUAUAAGUGAUAGGCUAUGUGUUUCUAGCUGAUCUGAUAAGUAAUAGCAUGCACAGUCUUUUGUUGAUAUCGGAGAUUAAAUCAAUUAUUGAAAAGAACAAAAAAGAAUAGACAUCAAAUAGUUUUAGUUAAGUUACAUAUGUUCCAAUCAAGGAUGUGAAGUUGAAUAAGUAUUAAUAAUGGAAACUACAUAAUCUACCUUAUAAUAAGGUAUUUAUGAAUCACAGCUGCUAAAUGAUAUCAAUUGCCAAUAUCACAUAAUCUCCCUCUAGAUAUUGUGAUCUUUAAAUUCUUUUGUAUCUAAUUUUAUUUUAAUCUCUCCUCUCUGGUGGGUUGGGUUGUAUAUCUAGAUCUAGUAUACUGGUGUUCCUACACUACAACACUAGUUUUUACAUGCGACUUAUUUUAUGUUUUUCUGAAACUGAAGUUUUACAUUUGCUGCAUUAUUUGACUUAUGUUUGCAGGUUGAUGAAUUUGUACACGAGUUGGACAGUCGUGUGCCACCUAUCAUCCCGAGCAUUAUCCGCUGCUCAGAAUGCUCUUGCAGUCGCUCGGGCUGUGGUUUCCGAAGUCAAGAGUGUCGAUGUUGUGGAAACCGCCUCAGGACUUGCUAAAACCGCCCCGGGCUGUCGUUUCCCUGCACAGAUCUAUUUUCUUAUCCGAAAUAUUCAAGUUCUUAACAUUUUAGUUUAGAGAAAUGCUAUAAAUUAUUGUAUUGUAUUUUUUUUUUAAAAUAAAAUUUCUGGUCACCUCCUAGACCAAUGUUAAUUCCGCAUGAAUUCAAUUUUUGUGCGAGGAUGUUUACUAUUAAUAAGUUGUUUAUCAUUCAGAUGUUUUAAAUUAUAUGUUGUCUACCAUUCAAAUGUUUUAAAUAGUAAG